rnacentral:rRNA from 1 species
UACGUAGGGGGCGAGCGUUGUCCGGAUUUACUGGGCGUAAAACGCUUGUAGGCGGCCACGCCAAGUCGGACGUGAAAUCUCCCGGCUUAACUGGGAGGGGUCGUUCGAUACUGGCGGGCUCGAGGCAGGUAGGGGGAAGCGGAAUUCCCGGUGUAGUGGUGGAAUGCGUAGAUAUCGGGAGGAACACCAGUGGCGAAGGCGGCUUCCUGGACCUGGUUCUGACGCUGAGGAGCGAAAGCGUGGGAGCGAACGAGGAUU